GCUCCACUCCCUGCCCACCUCCCUCUCUCCAUCUUUUCACAGGCACAGAGGAGAGACUGUGUGAGGACUCAUGGAGGAGACUGCCAUCUGCAAACCAGGAAGAAAGGCCUCAUCCUGCUGGCACCUGGAUCUCAGACUUCCAGCCUCCAGAAUUUCCAUCAUACAUCUGUGUGAGGCAGCCGGCAAGCAAGAGUUUCCCUCCGGAUCCCCCAUGAACUCAGAAGACGUCUGGGAUCCCCGCUCUUGGCGAAAUAAACAUGAGACUGACCGCAGGCAUGCGUACACCUGGCAAGCAUUUACUGAUUCUCUUCUUGUCGGGCUCUGUGCCGGGGGUCUGGGAUACGGGGCAGCCAAGAUAGCCCUGCCAUGCUCUUCCCACCGGGGCUCCCAGCCAGCCUGCCAGUGCAGACAGACACGUCCAUGUGUCAUUCCAGGCAGGGUAAGACGAGGUGAGAACUGGAAGUCACAGCAAAUGAAAGAGGCAGGCAGGGAAGCCACCACCCUGUCCCUCCAGUCGCCAUGAGGAUCCUCAGAAAGAUCUUCCAGCUAUUUUUGCUGUGAAACACAUUAUCCCAACACUCAGUGUCUCAAACCAACCAUUGUAUCUUGCUCAGGAUUCCGUAGGUCAAGAAAUCAGAGGGCGUGGCAGGAACAGCUUGCCUCUGCUCUGAAAUGCCUGGGGCCUCCCCUGGGAAGAUCAGUGGCUGGGGGUGACUCCAGGGCUGGGGACAGGAGUCACACAGAGCUAUGUUCACCCGUGUGCCCCGAGGUCAGUACUGCCUGCUGCCUGGGCCAUAACUGUAGCAGUUUUCCAGAGUGCGAACGUAUGGCCUCGGCACACACAGCGUGGAGGCGUCAGGGUCCCUGCGGCCCGGCAUGGCAGCUCGGACCCCACACAGGAGCAUCCGAGGCAACAAGGCCUUUCCUGCCCUCACUACGGAAGUCCUGAGGUGCGCUUCCCGGAAUCCUAUUGGUUACAAGCAAGCCACACGCCUGCCAGGUUGACAAGAAGGAUGAUUAGACACCACGUCUUGACCGGCAAAGAAUAAGGUUCCAAGAAGACGGGUGAGAAAGGAGGUUGCGUUGUGGCCAUCUUUGACACCAUGUACCACACCCGGGGUGAUCCAGGCACCGCAUUUACUGCCCAGCAUGGGAGGGCAGGCCGAGUGGAGCCCAGCUGGAGGUGGGGUGGAGGUCAGAAGGGAGAGAAGCUGGACUCCUCUGAGGGCCAAUUCCAUUGGACCAUGGCUUCAGUUUCUCCCCCGCCCUGAGGGUCCCGUGUCUCCAGCCCAGAGCCUGCUUCUGAACUUCAGACCAGUGUGUCCACCUUCCCGCCUGCUCUACCUUUCAGUGCCUCAGCCUGUUCUUGAGAGCAACGGAGGCGCCGAUAUGCUCCACCUCAUGCCUGACACAUGGACGCGCCCAGUAAGUGGUAGUGAUUAUUCGGCAUCUGUGGAGAUUUCAAAGCCAGUUCCAACCCAACGACUCCAACACUGAACUCCUAAGGUGCUGCCCCUGCCUGCCCCUCCCUCCGUGUCCCCUACCUGCAGGAACAGACCACCGUCCCUCCUCUUGUCCAUGUCAGAGGUCUGGCGGUCAUCUUUCAUACCUCGUGCUCUCUCUCUCCCCGUAGCCAACCUGAUCCCAAAUCUUGACAAACUUACCUUCUAGAUGGGUCUCUAAUUUUCCCACUCUUCUCCAUCGCUACCCUAACACCUAGUCCAAGUUUACAGUCAUUUCUCCUUUGGACUCUGACCUCCUUACUGGGCUUGCGAAUUCCCUAGGCCCUUCCACCCACCCACAUCCGUUUUUCACACAGCAAGCUGACAGAAUAGUUUCCAAACAUAAAGCUGAUCAUGUCAUUCCCCCCUGAUUAAUGUCCUC
rnacentral:lncRNA from 1 species